CCUACGGGAGGCAGCAGUGAGGAAUAUUGGUCAAUGGCCGGAAGGCUGAACCAGCCAAGUCGCGUGAGGGACGACUGCCCUAUGGGUUGUAAACCUCUUUUAUAAGGGAGGAAUAAAUGCUACGUGUAGCAUGAUGCCUGUACCUUAUGAAUAAGCAUCGGCUAACUCCGUGCCAGCAGCCGCGGUAAUACGGAGGAUGCGAGCGUUAUCCGGAUUUAUUGGGCUUAAAGGGUGCGUAGGCGGUUUUUUAAGUGUGUGGUUAAACGGCGGGGCUUAACCCUGAAUUGCCAUUGAUACUGUAAAGCUAGAGUUCGAACGAGGUAAGUGGAAUUAGAUGAGUAGCGGUAAAAUGCGUAAAUAUAACUAAGAACACCGGUAGCGAAGGCAGCUUACCGGGCCGAGACUGACGCUGAAGCACGAGAGCGUGGGUAGCGAACAGGAUUAGAUACCCGAGUAGUC
rnacentral:rRNA from 1 species